rnacentral:rRNA from 1 species
UGGGGAAUAUUGGACAAUGGAGGGAACUCUGAUCCAGCAAUUCUGUGUGUGUGAAGAAGGUUUUAGGACUGUAAAACACUUUUAGUAGGGAAGAAAAAAAUGACGGUACCUACAGAAGAAGCAACGGCUAAAUACGUGCCAGCAGCCGCGGUAAUACGUAUGUUGCGAGCGUUAUCCGGAAUUAUUGGGCUUAAAGGGCAUCUAGGCGGUAAGACAAGUUGAAGGUGAAAACCUGUGGCUCAACCAUAGGCUUGCCUACAAAACUGUUUAACUAGAGUACUGGAAAGGUGGGUGGAACUACACGAGUAGAGGUGAAAUUCGUAGAUAUGUGUAGGAAUGCCGAUGAUGAAGAUAGCUCACUGGACAGAAACUGACGCUGAAGUGCGAAAGCUAGGGGAGCAAACAGG